GGGGGGGGGGCAGCAGCAGAGAUAAGGAACAAUUUGUCAAAGAGAACCUUUCUAUCCAUCUUGUUAGGCUGACAAACAAUUGGCAUAGAACUCUUCCCAUGCAUAAUCAAAAUGCAAAUACCAAUGAAUCAAGGAAUUUCCAUCCAAACAUGAUACAGACACCUUAAUUGACUAAGAAGCACAUCAAGGUAAAAUCCAAUCUUAUAGAUUUCGGGUGCUUAAACCAGUCCUGUAAGGUUUUUUAGCCCUUACCCCUGACUACUAUUGGUCUCAUUUUCAAUGUUUGCAUUUCCUGGAUUAACAAAUCCGCUUUUGUACAAAAGGUGCAAUUCAUGAAAAUAUGGGCAAGUCUUACUGUUUUCGUGCCGCUUCUUUCCCCCACUUUCCAUUGAUUUUCUGAAGUACUUGUUGAUGUUUUCCCAUUUCUCU
rnacentral:misc_RNA from 1 species